UUUGCCGGAGCAAUGCCUGCUCCAAGGUUAGCGGGCUGGCGGGCUGGCUGGCUGGCUCUGGUUCUUUUCUUUCCGACCUGGGCUGCCCAGCUGCAGGGCGCACAAGCCACUUCAGGGGACAGAGCUGGGAGCCACAGCAUCCCUGUCCUGGGGAUACGCUGAGAAGCUCCUUCGCCCAAAGGUCUAGACCUAUAUUGGCGUCCAGAGUGGAAGAAGACACAUUUUAUUAGACAAAGCAAAUGAGGAAUUACGAAACCGGGACCAGCCGUACAUGGCCGAAGGGAACCGAGUGCACCGGCAUCAUGGGAAAGGCGGACGCGGUGACGGAGGCGGAAUUCACAGUAAGAAGCAUCCAGGCUGGCCUGGAAACAAAAGCAGCCUGCAGAGACGUCAGGGGCUCAGUGCAGAGAGGAACCUGCAGCCACAGAGGUGGCUUUGAGGGUCCUGAUGAUGAACAUGGUGUGCACACAUUUGGGACACAGCAGCCACGUGGAGACGUGAGGACAAAGGCUUUUCUGUCCUUUGCCACCCGUGAGGCAGUGCUUUUCUGAGCAGCUCUGAUUAUAAAUCCCUGUCCUGCUAUGAUGGGUAAACUUGGCAGCAUUCGAGAUCUGCCUUGUGUCUUCACUGUUUCUCAGUUGGUUUGGGUUUGGCAAAACCCCAAAUGCAUUCUGCCAAGUACUCUUUCCCUUAAUUUCAAAUCCCCUGAGUGGCUUAAGGGAAAUUUCAUCCAUAUGUUUCUGAGUCAUUUGCUGUGAACUCAUCUUUUGGUAAAAGAAAUAUGUUCUCAAGCCAGCACAGUUCAGAGAAUAGCAAAAGUUUUAGGCUGAAAUGGGUCAUGCUUUCUUUGGGAAGAACCUCCUAAAUUGUCUCAGUAUAAGAAGGACGGAAGAGAGGAAUAUUUCCUGUUCUCAUAUUCCCUCCUCUUUCUGUAUGAAUUCCUUUAAAAUUUUUUUAAAAUGUUUUAUUCAUUUUUUUGAG